AUUCAAAUAGCUUAAAAAGAGCACGAUAUUGAAGAUAUCGAGGUAAUAACUUUAUUUUUGAAUA
rnacentral:tRNA from 1 species